CGCGGGCCGGGCGUCAUGGGCGGCCUCUUCUGGCGCUCCGCGCUGCGGGGGCUGCGCUGCGGCCCGCGGGCCCCGGGCCCGAGCCUGCUAGUGCGCCACAGCUCGGCGUCCCCUCCAGAGGAGGACGGCUGGGGCGGAGCUCAGCGCUGACCCUGGGUCUGGAAGCGACAGGCCUUGAAACUCCACAGCAGCACAGGCCCCGUCUCCUGGCUCGGACAGAACCCUGCUACCUUCCCUCUUCAAUCUUCAGGCCCCUUUUGUCCGUGUUUCCAGGGCUCACCUGGUGGGGAAAGCGUGUUUCUCCCUGGUUCCCUGCCACUCAUUCACCUCAGACACAGGGUGGGCUCUGGGUUCUUCCUCAUGUGGAAAGUCGGGGCUUCAGACCAUGUCUGUCGUCAUCCAGAAGGGCUGGAGUCAAAAGUGAGGCUGGAGUUUUGCAGGAUCUCCAGACUUCCCUGUGGCCACUGAGCUGGGCUGUGCCUCUGUGGACCUCAGGGUGGUCGCUGAGCUGGGCUGUCCCUCCCUGGACCUUGAGGUGGUCCCUGAGCUGGGCUCUGCCUCUAUGGACCUUGCGGUGGUGGUCCCUGAGCUGGGCAGUGCCUCCCUGAACCUCGGGGCGAUCUCAGGCAGCCUCUGCCUCUGCUGGGAGGAGCCAUGGCCCCUGGGAGAGGCUAGAAGCCCUGGGGACACAUUGCCUUGGGUGUCCCUGACAGGGACUAUCAUGGGGGUGUUUCUGGCUGUGGGCACCAUCCCUGUCCCUUCCAGAGUGCCCUGCAUAGAGGCAGACACCCUGAAGCCUGGUGACCCCUGGGCUCUGGCUGGGAAACCCGGGUCGUGGGGACGUGAAAGCAUGAGGUGGCAGUGCCUCUGACCUCUUGCCUUUUGAAGGAGGGCCCUCCUGGACCCGGGAGCGGACCCUGGUGGCGGUGAAGCCCGAUGGCGUGCAACGGCGGCUCGUUGGGGACGUGAUCCAGCGCUUUGAGAGGCGGGGCUUCACGCUGGUGGGGAUGAAGAUGCUGCAGGCACCAGAGAGCGUCCUUGCCGAGCACUACCAGGACCUGCGGAGGAAGCCCUUCUACCCUGCCCUCAUCCGCUACAUGAGCUCUGGGCCUGUGGUGGCCAUGGUCUGGGAAGGGUACAAUGUCGUCCGUGCCUCAAGGGCCAUGAUUGGACACACCGACUCGGCUGAGGCUGCCCCAGGAACCAUAAGGGGUGACUUCAGCGUCCACAUCAGCAGGAAUGUCAUCCACGCCAGCGACUCCGUGGAGGGGGCCCAGCGGGAGAUCCAGCUGUGGUUCCAGAGCAGUGAGCUGGUGAGCUGGGCAGACGGGGCCCAGCACAGCAGCAUCCACCCAGCCUGAGGCUCAAGCUGCCCUUACCACCCCAUCCCCCACGCAGGACCAACUACCUCCGUCAGCAAGAACCCAAGCCCACAUCCAAACCUGCCUGUCCCAAACCACUUACUUCCCUGUUCACCUCUGCCCCACCCCAGCCCAGAGGAGUUUGAGCCACCAACUUCAGUGCCUUUCUGUACCCCAAGCCAGCACAAGAUUGGACCAAUCCUUUUUGCACCAAAGUGCCGGACAACCUUUGUGGUGGGGGUGGGGGGUGUCUUCACGUUAUCGUAACCUCUCCUCUAAAGGGGAGGCAUUAAAAU
rnacentral:sRNA from 1 species